AACGAACGCUGGCGGCAGGCUUAACACAUGCAAGUCGAACGGGCAUAGCAAUAUGUCAGUGGCAGACGGGUGAGUAACGCGUGGGAAUAUGCCCUUUAGUUCGGAAUAACCAAGGGAAACUUUGGCUAAUACCGGAUAAGCCCGAGAGGGGAAAGAUUUAUCGCUGAAGGAGUAGCCCGCGUCUGAUUAGCUAGUUGGUGAGGUAAUGGCUCACCAAGGCGACGAUCCGUAGCGGGUCUGAGAGGAUGAUCAGCCACACUGGGACUGAGACACGGCCCAGACUCCUACGGGAGGCAGCAGGGGGGAAUAUUGGACAAUGGGCGCAAGCCUGAUCCAGCCAUGCCGCGUGAGUGAUGAAGGCCUUAGGGUUGUAAAGCUCUGUCGACGGGGACGAUGAUGACGGUACCCGUAGAAGAAGCCCCGGCUAACUUCGUGCCAGCCGCCGCAGUAA
rnacentral:rRNA from 1 species